UUUCCUGUAGGCUGGAGUGAAGGGAUAAUUUAGGCUCGUAGUGUAGGGCGGCUGGCGUGUUGUUGUGGUAAAGGAAGCGGCGGGCAUGGCAAACGUCUUUAUCCUAGACAACGGCGCCUAUACCAUCAAGGCUGGCUUCUCCAAUCAAAAUGAGCCCAGAAUUAUGCCAAAUGCCAUCAUGAAGGCCAAAAGUGAGCGGAGAAGACCAUUUAUCGCAGACCAAAUUGAAGACUGUAGAGAUGCUUCUGGGCUGUUUUAUAUAUUGCCCUUCCAGAAGGGUUACUUAGUCAACUGGGACAUACAGAAGACCGUGUGGGACUAUGUGUUUGGCAAGGAUGUGUUCAACGUCAAUCACUCCAACACCACCAUGAUUGUCACUGAGCCGUACCUGAACUUCACCAGCACUCAAGAGGCACUUAGUGAAAUAUUCUUUGAAGAAUACGAGGUUGAUGCCUUACUGAGGAUAAAUGCUGGAGACCUGUCAGUGCACAAAUAUCACCGUGACAGGCCAAGAGAGCUGUGUUGCUUGCUGGUGGAGUCUGGCUUCAGCUUCACCCAUAUUGUUCCCUACAUUCAAGGCAAGAAGCAGAAGGAUGCCAUUUUGAGAGUAGAUGUUGGGGGCAAAGUUCUCACUAAUCACCUAAAGGAGUUAAUAUCAUACAGGCAACUUAAUGUUAUGGAUGAAACAUAUGUGAUUAAUCAGGUGAAGGAAGAUGUUUGUUUUGUGUCACUGGACUAUAAUACUGACAUGAGAACAGCUCGGGAUGGGAAGCAAGCAAACCACAUCUUGAGAGAUUAUGUGCUGCCAGACUUCACUACUAUAAAGAGAGGCUAUGUCAGACCACUGGAGGAGUCUACUGGAAAGUCUACUGCUGGUGAACAGCUGAUCCGUCUCAACAAUGAACGUUUUGCAAUACCUGAACUCUUAUUUCAUCCAAGUGAUGUUGGGAUCCAGGAGAUGGGUAUCACUGAGGCUAUUGUUCACUCAAUAAACAAGUGUCCAGAGGAAACAAGACCGCAUUUAUAUAGAAAUAUCCUGCUCACCGGAGGAAACUGUAAUUUCCCAAUGUUUAAAGACCGAGUCUUUAAAGAUGUCCAGUCAAUGGCACCAGAUGAAUUUGAUGUGAAUGUCACCCUUGCCAAAAAUCCGUCAACUUACUGCUGGAGGGGAGGUGCUGCCAUCAGCAGAUCUGCUCAUUUCCCAGAAAUGCUGGUCACUAAAAAAGAGUGGGAAGAAGAUGGCUUUAACAUAUGUCAGGAGAGAUUUAGUGUUUAAGUCAUUUCUAUACUGCAGUGGACUUCAUCCAGAGAACACUUCUGUUUUGCUGAGCAAGAGGAGUUAGCAUUCCUCAUGACGACGCCUGUACACAACAAAAAAUUGUGCCCAUCAUUUGGAAUCGACCGGUCAACCCAAAGAUUGCCAUGAAAGGCUAGGGAAUUGACAAGUUAAGUUUCUUUAACAUGGACUUCCAAGAACCAGUCUCUAAGUGAAAAUGGUUGAAGUGGACAUUUUUGCUGUUAAGAGCUGAGCAGGCAACAGGGCCAUCAUUAAUAUACAGCUGUCCUGGUGUUUUUGUGAACAAACUUGACUGGCAGACUGCAGCACUGGUAGUGAUGAGUCACAGCUGCUACCUGCCACAGUAUUGAGUAACCUUUGAAGUGGAUAACAGCAGUGGUGGCACAACACUUGUAAGAGUAAUGUUACAUCAGGAAAAUAAACAUCUGUUGUCAUUUAAAAUACAAUGGCUCAUAAGAUGGAAUUUAUUAAUGUUUUCAACUUCCAGAAUUCUGGAUAAAAAUUUGGGAACCUGUAUCCUGAAAUAUUUGCUCCAUGCAAAACAACUGGGGGAGUAACAAACAAUACAGUUCAUUAUUUCUAAAAUUUUGUCUUACUCAAAUUAACAAAAUUCCAACAAAUUAUGCUUAAAUUUAGUAAGACUGGCAUGAAUUUCUUGUAAGAUAAUGUGGUAACUGAAUGGGUUAAAUUGCCACAACUAUAUCCUUUAUCAAUAAAACAUGACUGAAAGAGCCUGAUAAUUAAAUUGGAGGUCCAAGUAGUAGAGACCAAUGGUGCCUGGUGGCUGAUUUUGCCAUGCUUGAGAAGCCAUUAGGCACUGUUCUCACAGGUGAUAUUUAUUUCAGGCCUACAAGGAGGAGUGGAUGGAUAAUAGACUGAGCAUUAAAAUAUUAAUGAUAGGAUCAGGAAGAAAGCAUACAUUUCUCAAGACCACAGGAUCUUGGAUACCCUUUAUUAUCAGUUAAGCUCUUUCUCAUGGGAUUUAUAUUUUAAUAUCUUUUGUUUGGUGAUAACACACAACUUUUUAGAGCAGUCAGUACCCUUCAGAAUGGAGGGUUUAAUGUAACUGGAGCAAUGGGUUCACAAGAAAUUUCAAGUGGCCAGUCUAUAUUAUUAUUUGAUCAGAUGAGAAAUAAAAUUUUAAGAAACCUGUUAUGUUAUUUUGACAGAUCUCAAAUUUUUACAAGUAAGGAUAAAAGGAAAUUAUCAUACUACAAUGAUGGGUUUUUGAGUCUUAACACAGCUGUGGCAGCAAAGAAAUGUGAAUUAUUAAUGCCUUGUCAUUGUGAGUAGUUUCAUACUAAAUUAAAGGCCUUGAGAUAAGCAAAUAUGUAAAGUUUGGGGAAAUUUAUUUUAUAAUACAAUGAAUUUAGCAACACAAUAUAUACUUAAUGCACUUUCUACUAAAAUAAGAGAAAAAAAUAAAAAUAAAUAAAUAAAUAAAUAAAAAAAUAGGCCUAAAAUCUUGCCUUAAUAAAAAUAGCCGAGUUCAUCUUUCUUGACAUGCACUUUGAGGCAACAAAAAUUGAGGUACACAGAUAAGCACAGCAACCUCCCUCAUUAUCUACAUGUAUCAUCACCACCUGGCUUUACGAGUCCACUGCACGACAAAGUCCUCCCUAAGUGACUUAAGAGUAUCAUAUUCCACAUCUUGGUGGCUUGGAGUGUCUUAGUGGGAUUCUGGGUUACUAAAUCACAACUCAACUUCCCUUUGCAAGUGGACUGAAGCAACAACUCAAAAGGAAAUCAGUCAUCACCCACCCAAGGUGAAAACUAUUUAUAAUGAAAUAAGGUGAUAGAUAAAAUACUAAAUCUCCGUAAGUUAAAUAGUGUUAAGAUUGACCCAAACACCAUGUUUUCAUUUUAAAAAAGUACCCAUAACACAAGAAACCAAAGUUUCUGAAACACCUACACAAACAGCACAAUAUAAACCUUUGCCAAUCUGCACUCCUUACACACCCCCCUUUCCCUGGCUUGUGUUUACAAUAUAAUAAUCACCCUCAUGUACAAGUUUCUCAACCCUCCACUGACUACUCCUAUCUAUAAAAAAAAUGUUAGGAGUAAAGGAAAGAAAUCCACAAAGUAGCUGAACAUGUGGCUUCACAAGAAAUCUUUACCCCUCAGAAAUAUUAGGAUGAACAACACGCAGAUGUCAUCUCCUUUAUCACCAGAACAUGGGAAAAACAAGCGAGACCAACAGAACAAGCACUAUAGAUUCCUGUUUAUAACUGCAGUUGGUAAGUGGGAGAAGCGUUAAGAUCUCAAAUUAUUAAUUUCCAAUUCACCACAAGUGUGCUGAUUCUGUGCUGGCACAACACUGCUUACAAUGAUUUAGAGCUGCACAAUGAAGAUUUACAUGACAUGUGUGAUCAGGUGUCCUAAACCAGCACAGCACAGGUUUUUCGUAAGUAGUAUUGAGUGUUUUGGACAGUUACAAAAAGCUCAUGAAUGAGCCCAGAUAAAGUCAUGGAUGGUUGCUACUGAGAUGAUGUAAAGGAAGCACCAGCACAUGCCAUUCAAAACAGCUCCAAGGUUGUAAAACUGGAACUCUCACCAGUCUACCAAGUGAUAAUCCCUACUAGCAGAUAACAGGGAGUUUUUUAAGAACACAUCUUCCUGUUCUUGAGAUUUUGUCUCAGUAAAUCCUGAAUAAUUUAAAAAUAUUUGGCUUGCAGAGGAAAAAUUUCAGUGGACAGCAAUGUAAGCUCCCACUAUUCUGCCACAAGGAUAAUCAACAGCUUAAAAAAAAAAAGUGCCAAAUUUAGACUCAUGAUUA